CAGGGAGACAAAAAAACGACCAUGAUGUCUGAGAUAUUUUACUUAGUCCAUGGUCCUGUCACCUUAGGUCGAUCGGUACCUCAAGUUGAAAACCAAAAUAGAUUGAGCAAUCAUUUCUUACUAUUGGUAAUUAAUUUCAGUUCCUAAACUUGUCUAGGUCACACCCAAUAAGGGUUCUCCUGGGCCAUUAGCUCAGGUGGUUAGAGCGCACCCCUGAUAAGGGUGAGGUCCCUGGUUCAAGUCCAGGAUGGCCCAUUCGUUGUAGGGGGUAUAGCUCAGUUGGUAGAGCGCCUGCUUUGCAAGCAGGAUGUCAGCGGUUCGAGUCCGCUUACCUCCACUGACCCACCUCCUAAUAGUCAACUUAAGGGAGACUUUCAUUUGGAAGUGACUUAGUUUUUGUUUAAUCUGAUAGAACCUAGCUUCUUAUCAUUCCUAAAAACCAUUUAUUUAAAUAAUAGAUUUGGUUGAUAAGAUGCUGGGCUCACUGCAAGAUAAAAUUUGCAAGUGUGUUCAGUAGAACCUUGACAACUGCAUAGAUAAGUCUGGAAAGAAUAAAGCAUCUCAUGGAUGCAUUUUCUUUAAACUUUUUAUUCUUUUUAGGAAUAAAUUCUUUUAGAGAAAAAUGUUAAAUUCUUGAGCAAGAGUUUAGAUCUAUUAGUUUUUUUCUUUAAUUUUUUGGAUUAAAGAAAAUAAAAUUAAUAGAUAAAU
rnacentral:tRNA from 1 species